UGCCCUGUGGUGUAACGGUAACACAGCGCCCUUUGGAGGCGUUAUUCUUGGUUCGAAUCCAAGCGGGGCAGCCC
rnacentral:tRNA from 1 species